ACUAUUUUCCCUCCGCCACUUCCCUCCCACUCUGAGCUGCCUUCCUCCCCACACUGCCCUUGAGUCAAGAGGUCAGGGCUACCACUUCUUUUUUCAGCAGUAACGCUUUUCCUUCUGUGUUUUAUCCUCUAGUUGUUACUUUCCUUCCUUCCAGUGGAGGGGCAGCAAGAGCCAUUUGGCUGAUACGAUGUUUUUCUGGGAAGGAAAGGAUAAGACUUAAAAAAACCAGGAUGCCUUCAGGCAAAAUGUGAUUUUUCAAUCAAAAUUCUUUUUCUUAAGGGAGGGGAUUUUUCUCACAAGGGAGAGAAUUUGCCCCAACAGAGCAGUUUUACCCACACUCCUCUGAGACACAGCGUCUGUGUGCUGUCAGUGUCAGGGAGGAUCAGGCACAGAACGACCCAUUGCCAUCAUAAAACAAUCCAGCUUCCCAGAGGGAGAGGAAGAGAAAGGGGUUGCGUGUGGCCUUGAAAACCAGAAGGAAAAGGAGAAGAGGAAGUGCCUGGUUGUUCCUGUCUUGGUGGGGAGCGUUGUGGGGUCCCUGGCGACUGUGUGACCAGCAAACACCCUUGCUGAGAACUGCAGACCAGGCCAUUUGCAAGAGCAGCUCCGUGCCUGCAGCAGCUGCGUCUUGUGGGGGGGUAAAUGCUAGAGAAGAGCUGGGCCUGUGGAGCUGUGUUAACUGGCAUUUCAAAGGUUUUAGGCAAAGACUUACCAGUGUGAAGUGUUGGAGAUUACAGGGACUGGCGCUUGCAGAAACAUGAAGAAUCCAAGCCAACUUGUAGAGAAUCCUUAAGUCCAUUCAGAGACCAAAGGGAGCACACUGUUGCUGGAAAAAGAGAGGAGGUUCAAUGACAAGGGGCUUCAUGGUGCUGUGAUUCUGUAUGAACAUAAAGGACUGUGGCAUGCAGUCAUGGUGAGAGAGGAGGAAGAGUCUGCCAGCCUGAUGGAAAAAUCCUACAAAUAGUAGGAAAACUUAAAGGAUAAAGGCCUUAGAUUGGAGCAUGAAGAUUCAAAUCUAAAAUACUUGAAUAUAAGCUAUAAAGAACAAGGUUGCAGAAAGAGGGAGCUUUCUGAACUUGGAGAAGGCUGGUAAACAGGAGUUUGACAGCCAAACUUUGGUGCCCCCCACAUCGAGGGAAUAGGGACUGUAUUGCAUGGAUGCAUUCCAGUUGGAGGAGGGCUUUGCUAUGCGGAGAUGCUCUCGGGUCAGGUGAAGACAGCAGGAUUCUUGCAAACCAGAUAGAGAGACAAGAAAUCACAGCAUUAAAAGAAGGAGGCAGCAAGGAUUCUCCCUCCUGCAACAAUUCUUCAUCCACAGGAGCUUCUGAGCCUGUCCCAAGAAAGGAUUCCUGAUGGGAUAUUUCCUGUUCACAUUACUGUCUUUCUCAUGAGAAUCCACUGUCAGACCCCAUGCCUCCUUGUGGUCUCUGACAGAUGGUGGCAUCCAACUGGACCCUGACUGAGCAAAGUAAGGAGGAGUCAGUGACAUGAGAUGAUUCUGGUGGUGCUGGAGUGUGAGGCACAAUCCCUUUGUGCACAGGGACAACAGCCAACACUCAUGUUACAACAACUGCAACAAGAAAAAAAAGUACUUAUGUGAUUGCUUGUGACCACUCCAAAUAAAAACAAUCAAGAAUGCAAA